rnacentral:rRNA from 1 species
AUGAAGCUAAACACAGAUGGAGCCUGGUGGGUGGUCACCGAAUAUGUCGAAGAACACAACCACGAUAUGAUAAAGAAGUUUGACCUAGUAAGAUUACUGGGCGCCCACAGAGGAUUCAAUCCUCACAAGAAGAAAUUCAUAAAGUUACUACAUGAUUGUAACGUCAGUACAUCGAGAAUGGUCCAGAUACUAUCCCUGAUCCACAACAAAGAUGGUAGUCUGGGUAGCAUGCCCUACAUACCAGCAGACGUCACAAACCUAAAGGCAAAGUACCGCAGAGAGAGAAAGUUGGCUGACAUAGAAGACACGAUUGCCUACUUCGAAGAGAAAGCAAAAGAAGAUCCUGAUUUCUUCUAUAGGAUAAGACUGGACGAUGAGGACCGUGUCAGAAACAUGUAUUGGGUGGAUGGUGCAGCAAGAAGAGCCUACAAACAUUUCCGUGAUUGCAUUUCUUUUGACGCGACAUAUCUCACGAAUAUGUACAAGAUGUCAUGUGCUCCAUUCAUAGGAAUAAAUAACUACAAACUUGAUGGUUACACUUGGUUGUUCAAAACCUUCUUGGAGUGCAUGGGUGGACUUGCUCCAAUAAACAUAAUAAUAGACCAGGACUUUAGCAUGCGUGGAGGCAUAGAGGAGGUCUUCCCCAUGGCAGUGCACAGGCACUGCAGGUGGCAUAUUAUUAAGAAGGAUGAAGAGACUCUAGGUCCAUUCUUUGUUACUACGCAAUGCAUCGAGGGGUUCAAUGCUGUUUUGAAGCGUUACGACGGGGUUGUGUGCUGCCACAUACUCAAAAUUAUGGAGAUGCACGUGGUCAAGCAUUUGCCCCGCCAUUUCAUACACCGGUGAUGGACUUGGGACGCUGAUGAUGCGUUGGGGCCACAAACAUCAAAUGAAGUUUUGGUUGUACAUGAUGACAGACUGGAGGCAACCAUGGACUCCGUGAGGCACGUGGUCUUGACCAAGAACUAUGUUCAACUAAUAGAUGAAGCAUGCAAGAGUGAUGAGACAACAAGGGUGGCAGAAAAGCACAGGAAGGCCCUAAAAAGAGAGCUUGAUGAGAUCAAGAAAAGGAAGGCUGAAGAGGCCUUACACAAAUUCCCCCGCACUUCAAGUGUGCCUUCAUCCACGGGUCCAUCCUCUGAAAACUCGGAAGUAGGGUCUAGAACAGCAAGCACACAAACUCAGGUCAGGAACCCGACACGUUCCAUCACAAAAGGGCAUCCAAAAGAGGUGAGAUACAAAUCAGGGUUGGAAAUUCAAGCAAAGCACAAGAAACCAAGAAAAGGAACUGUCAAUCCAUAA